rnacentral:rRNA from 1 species
ACGCUCGACACCUACGGGUGGCAGCAGUGAGGAAUAUUGGUCAAUGGGCGCUAGCCUGAACCAGCCAAGUAGCGUGAAGGAUGAAGGCUCUAUGGGUCGUAAACUUCUUUUAUAUAAGAAUAAAGUGCAGUAUGUAUACUGUUUUGUAUGUAUUAUAUGAAUAAGGAUCGGCUAACUCCGUGUCAGCAGCCGCGGUAAUCUGAGCGGCUGGCAAGGC